rnacentral:other from 1 species
CCUUUCCUGCCGUGUUCGUUAUCGAGCUGUUAGUGACCCGGCCCGUUUUUAUGACAUCGGGAGUCACGUGACCUGGGAUCGUCAUGUCAUGCCUUCACUGGAAGACAGCACCCUUGUUCAUGGGCACCCACCUCGUCGCCUUUGGGAUACGAGGUCCUCAGACCGGACGGCACAUGUGGGACCCAA